UGGGGGAUAUUGCACAAUGGGCGAAAGCCUGAUGCAGCGACGCCGCGUGGGGGAUGAAGGCCUUCGGGUUGUAAACUUCUUUUGCUCUGAACAAGGCAUGCCUUUGGGGUGUGUUGAGUGUAGGGGUUGAUUAGCGCCGGCUAACUACGUGCCAGCAGCCGCGGUAAUACGUAGGGCGCGAGCGUUGUCCGGAAUUAUUGGGCGUAAAGGGCUUGUAGGUGGCUGGUUGCGUCUGUCGUGAAAGCUCAUGGCUUAACUGUGGGUUUGCGGUGGGUACGGGCUGGCUUGAGUGCAGUAGGGGAGGCUGGAAUUCCUGGUGUAGCGGUGGAAUGCGCAGAUAUCAGGAGGAAUACCGGUGGCGAAGGCGGGUCUCUGGGCUGUUACUGACGCUGAGUAGCGACAGCGUGGGGAGCGAACAGG
rnacentral:rRNA from 1 species